rnacentral:misc_RNA from 1 species
CAACCCUCGAACCCCUCCGGGGGUCCGGCGUUGGGGAUCGGCCCUUUACCGGCCGGCCCCGAAAUACAGUGGCGGUCUCGCCGCAGCCUCUCCUGCGCAGUAGUUUGCACACUCGCACCGGGAGCGCGGCGCGUCCACGUCCGUAAAACACCCAACUUCUGAAA